UGUUACAAAAUUUCACCAUUUCCUAAACUGUUCUUGGAGCUACUAUAGGUGCAAUUAUUAUUGCUCUCGUGAUAGCUAAUAUGCCAUGUUUGUUUAACUUUCUUUGAUGGGUAAUAUUUGUAUUUACUGUUACAAGUGGUUCAACUGUGUUGACAACGUGGGAAAGAAAUCAAAACAGAUCAGGAUUUGCUCUGUUUUGUGUUCGAAGGAAGUCUCUGAAGAACAA